GUUACGUAUUCGGCAUCGAUGAAGAACGCAGCGUUACGUAUUCGGCAUCGAUGAAGAACGCAGCGUUACGUAUUCGGCAUCGAUGAAGAACGCAGCGUUACGUAUUCGGCAUCGAUGAAGAAC
rnacentral:misc_RNA from 1 species